rnacentral:rRNA from 1 species
UUCCGGUUGAUCCCGCCGGAGGUCACUGCUAUCGGGGUUCGAUUAAGCCAUGCGAGUCGAGAGGGUUCGGCCCUCGGCGUACUGCUCAGUAACACGUGGAUAACCUGCCCUAGGGAAGGGGAUAACCCCGGGAAACUGGGGAUAAUACCCUAUAGGUUACAGAUGCUGGAAUGCCCUGUAACCCAAAGUUCCGACGCCCUAGGAUGGAUCUGCGGCCGAUUAGGUUGUUGUUGGGGUAAUGGCCCAACAAGCCCGUAAUCGGUACGGGUUGUGGGAGCAAGAGCCCGGAGUUGGAUUCUGAGACACGAAUCCAGGCCCUACGGGGCGCAGCAGGCGCGAAAACUUUACAAUGCGGGAAACCGUGAUAAGGGAACACCGAGUGCCAGCAUCAUAUGCUGGCUGUCCAGAUGUGUAAACUACAUCUGUUAGCAAGGGCCGGGCAAGACCGGUGCCAGCCGCCGCGGUAACACCGGCGGCCUGAGUGGUGACCGUUAUUAUUGGGUCUAAAGGGUCCGUAGCCGGUUUGGUCAGUCCUCCGGGAAAUCUGAUAGCUUAACUGUUAGGCUUUCGGGGGAUACUGCCAGGCUUGGAACCGGGAGAGGUAAGAGGUACUACAGGGGUAGGAGUGAAAUCUUGUAAUCCCUGUGAGACCACCUGUGGCGAAGGCGUCUUACCAGAACGGGUUCGACGGUGAGGGACGAAAGCUGGGGGCACGAACCGGAUUAGAUACCCGGGUAGUCCCAGCCGUAAACUAUGCUCGCUAGGUGUCAGGCAUGGCGCGACCGUGUCUGGUGCCGCAGGGAAGCCGUGAAGCGAGCCACCUGGGAAGUACGGCCGCAAGGCUGAAACUUAAAGGAAUUGGCGGGGGAGCACAACAACGGGUGGAGCCUGCGGUUUAAUUGGACUCAACGCCGGACAACUCACCGGGGACGACAGCAAUAUGUAGGCCAGGCUGAAGACCUUGCCUGAAUCGCUGAGAGGAGGUGCAUGGCC